rnacentral:rRNA from 1 species
UACGAGGGGUGCAAGCGUUGCUCGGAAUUAUUGGGCGUAAAGGGUAGGUAGGUGGUCUCAUUUGUCGGGGGUGAAAGCCUUGUGCUUAACACAAGAAGUGCCCCCGAAACGGUGAGACUCGAGUCUUGGAGAGGGUUGCGGAAUUCCCGGUGUAGCGGUGAAAUGCGUAGAUAUCGAGAGGAACACCUGCGGCGAAGGCGGGUUGCUGGGCUGAUACUGACGCUGAGGCGCGAAAGCCAGGGGAGCGAACGGGG